UGAAGCUUUUGAGUAAAGUUGCAGUGUCUUAGUGCUUUGAGUAUCUGCCCUGUUACUUGUUAUCACAAUAUUCAGCAAGAGCUUUACCACUGAAAUCACUAUUACAGGUUUUGCUAGUGAAUGGCUCCGUCUUAGAUAUUUAACCUUAGACAUGCUAAGGAAGAUGGAUAAAUUGGCCUUGGUUUAAAGAUAAAUUGAAAUGAUAAAUUAACCAAUCUAUGGCUUUUGUACAAAUAUUGCAUGAUACCAUGUCCAUAUACAUAUGUUGAGCUAAUAUCAUUUAUGUAAAGGAGACUUACUUGUGCUUUCCAUUGAUUUUCUAUGUCUAACUUCAAGAAAGGAAUCCCUACUUUUCUGCUAUGCAUUUAAAGAAGUGAUCUAGAGUGUGGUAUUUUAUGCGAUUUUCUGCAGUGGCCUUCUCCAAGCAUUUUGAUUGAUCUUAUCCAUACAAGUUUGUCUUUUCUACUGAAGGUUAAAGCUUUUCUCAGCUUAAGGUUUCCUUGAUUGUCUUUGUAGGAUAAGGAUUUAUUAUGCUGAGAACUGUAGGAAUUGUGAUAGAUAUAGCAGAAGAAUUGAUUUAGUUUCGCCAAUGACGAGGAAAUCUUACUAUUGUGUUAAAUGGAAGAAGCUAUAAAGAAAUGUUAUCUAUCCAUUUAUAACGGAAUUGCGCCAAGGAGGCAACACGUACCAAAUCUGUGGAGAUAAUGCCUAUUAACGUGUAGCUAAGUGAUGUAAAUUAAAAGUUAACUUUCUCUCUUUACCGUACUGAGUUUAGUAUAUCUGUAUUUGAUAUAAACACUCAUUUGCCGCCUAUUAGGUCUAACCUAUUUGCUUAGCUCGCUGCCUUCACAUUUCAGUUAAGAUCUUUUAUGUUUGGAAUAAUCAUUUCUAAUAAUUUGCUGAUCUUCAGGACCGAUGAUUAGUCCUUGGGGCUCUCUGAACCAGAUACGGAGAUGCUAUGUCUAUGCUAUACUCAGUAGCUACAAGAUUAGAGCCGGCAUUGCACCUGUGUCUGAUAACAUCUUUACAAAGUAUAGUGAUUUUACUGUCAACUGUAUGUCUAUUCAAGUGCAAAUCCACGGAGCUGAACUCCUUCCUCAGAGUCUGAUGGUCUUGAGAUAUCAAGGAAGCAUAGGAUGAUAACAACAGGGUCAUUGAGUGGGCAGCCACUAAGGUGAUGAAAACAUUGUUUACAAGAAAGCCAACUUGUGUGUACUGCACGUGAGUAAUAUAUUUGCAAUCCUUAUCAGUAAGUUUAUUAUAUCUGCAUGUCUUAAUUCUAUAAUUUAUACAUGAUCCAGACUCAAAGCAGUGAUUUUGAAUAAACCAGUCCAACUAGAUUUGUCUCUGAACAGGACCCAAGACUUUGUCCCCUUACCUUUUUAGACCUUUCAAUAUGUGGGUCUCCCUAGGUUCUUGGUGGCAACAAAUUUGAUUUAAUCAGUUUUUCCUUUCCUGUUACGUUUUUAGAAAACAAAUCUUUAUUUCACAUACUCGGAUAUUAUUUCAAUAGGUUAUAACAGUUCUAAUGUCUAACAUUGCAUUCAACUACAUAAUCUAUUGCAAGACCUGCUGCAAAUGUAUUUAUAUUUCUGAUACCCAAGAUAGAUUUACAAUACUGAGUAUAAUUUUCUUCUUGGAUUACUUUCCUAUUUAUAUCCUUAAGUUGAUAUAGUUGCUAGCAUAAACAUUACUCAUAUGAGUUUCAACAUAAAAACGAAUAAAGUCCGAGACUGAGAGCUUCUUAUUG